GACGAACGCUGGCGGCGUGCUUAACACAUGCAAGUCGAACGGAAAGGCCCUGCUUGCCGGGUACUCGAGUGGCGAACGGGUGAGUAACACGUGGGUGAUCUGCCCUGCACUUCGGGAUAAGCCUGGGAAACUGGGUCUAAUACCGGAUAGGAGCCAUUUUUAGUGUGAUGGUUGGAAAGUUUUUUCGGUGUAGGAUGAGCUCGCGGCCUACCAGCUUGUUGGUGGGGUAAUGGCCUACCAAGGCGGCGACGGGUAGCCGGCCUGAGAGGGUGGACGGCCACAUUGGGACUGAGAUACGGCCCAGACUCCUACGGGAGGCAGCAGUGGGGAAUAUUGCACAAUGGGCGCAAGCCUGAUGCAGCGACGCCGCGUGGGGGAUGACGGCCUUCGGGUUGUAAACUCCUUUCGCUAGGGACGAAGCUUUUUGUGACGGUACCUAGAUAAGAAGCACCGGCUAACUACGUG
rnacentral:rRNA from 1 species